rnacentral:ncRNA from 2 species
CUGCUAACGCGGGGGUCCUGCGCUGCACAUCGCGAUUCGAGUCGGCAUGACCGGUCGAAUCGCCCGUGUAUCGUGGGUGAGAAAUACCCUUUGAACCUGAUCUGGAUAAUGCCAGCGCAGGGAAGCGUUCGGGUUCGUCGG